rnacentral:rRNA from 1 species
UACGUAGGGGGCGAGCGUUGUCCGGAUUUAUUGGGCGUAAAGCGCGCGCAGGCGGUUCAUUAAGUCUGGUGUGAAAGCUCCCCGGCUCACCUGGGGAGAGGGCACUGGAGACUGGUGGACUGGAGCGAGGCAGAGGCCGGUGGAAUUCCAGGUGUAGCGGUGAAAUGCGUGAGAUAUCUGGAGGAACACCGGUGGCGAAGGCGGCAUCCUGGACCAACACU